rnacentral:rRNA from 1 species
UUCCCGGUUGAUCCUGCCGGACCCGACUGCUAUCAGAGUGGGACUAAGCCAUGCGAGUCAACGUAGAAAUACGUGGCGAACGGCUCAGUAACACGUAGUCAACAUGCCCAGAGGACGUGGAUAACCUCGGGAAACUGAGGAUAAACCGCGAUAGGCCAUGAUUUCUGGAAUGGUUCAUGGCUGAAAUCUAUAUGGCCUCUGGAUUGGACUGCGGCCGAUCAGGCUGUUGGUGAGGUAAUGGCCCACCAAACCUGUAACCGGUACGGGCUCUGAGAGGAGGAGCCCGGAGAUGGGCACUGAGACAAGGGCCCAGGCCCUAUGGGGCGCAGCAGGCGCGAAAUCUCUGCAAUAGGCGAAAGCUUGACAGGGUUACUCUGAGUGAUUCCCGCUAAGGGGAUCUUUUGGCACCUCUAAAAAUGGUGCAGAAUAAGGGGUGGGCAAGUCUGGUGUCAGCCGCCGCGGUAAUACCAGCACCCCGAGUGGUCGGGACGAUUAUUGGGCCUAAAGCAUCCGUAGCCGGUACUGCAAGUCUUCCGUUAAAUCCACCUGCUCAACAGUUGGGCUGCGGGGGAUACUACAGCGCUAGGAGGCGGGAGAGGCAAGCGGUACUCAGUGGGUAGGGGUAAAAUCCACUGAUCCAUUGAAGACCACCAGUGGCGAAGGCGGCUUGCCAGAACGCGCUCGACGGUGAGGGAUGAAAGCUGGGGGAGCAAACCGGAUUAGAUACCCGGGUAGUCCCAGCUGUAAACGAUGCAGACUCGGUGAUGGGCUGGCCUUGUGCCAACCCAGUGCCGCAGGGAAGCCGUUAAGUCUGCCGCCUGGGGAGUACGGUCGCAAGACUGAAACUUAAAGGAAUUGGCGGGA